rnacentral:rRNA from 1 species
AACGAACGCUGGCGGCAUGCCUAACACAUGCAAGUCGAACGAGACCUUCGGGUCUAGUGGCGCACGGGUGCGUAACGCGUGGGAACCUGCCCUUAGGUUCGGAAUAACUCCCCGAAAGGGGUGCUAAUACCGGAUAAUGUCUUCGGACCAAAGAUUUAUCGCCUUUGGAUGGGCCCGCGUUGGAUUAGCUAGUUGGUAGGGUAAAAGCCUACCAAGGCGACGAUCCAUAGCUGGUCUGAGAGGAUGAUCAGCCACACUGGGACUGCGACACGGCCCAGACUCCUACGGGGGGCAGCAGUGGGGAAUAUUGGACGAUGGGCGAAAGCCUGAUCCAGCAAUGCCGCGUGAGUGAUGAAGGCCUUAGGGUUGUAAAGCUCUUUUACCCGGGAUGAUAAUGACAGUACCGGGAGAAUAAGCACCGGCUAACUCCGUG